rnacentral:rRNA from 1 species
GAUGAACGCUAGCUACAGGCUUAACACAUGCAAGUCGAGGGGCAGCAUGGUCUUAGCUUGCUAAGGCCGAUGGCGACCGGCGCACGGGUGAGUAACACGUAUCCAACCUGCCGCCUACUCUUGGCCAGCCUUCUGAAAGGAAGAUUAAUACAAGAUGGCAUCAUGAGUUCACAUAUCCACAUGAUUAAAGGUAUUCCGGUAGACGAUGGGGAUGCGUUCCAUUAGAUAGUAGGCGGGGUAACGGCCCAUCUAGUCUUCGCUGGAUAGGGGUUCUGAGAGGAAGGCCCCCCACAUUGGAACUGAGACACGGUCCAAAAUCCUACGGGAGGCAGCAGUGAGGAAUAUUGGUCGAUGAGCGAGAGCCUGAACCAGCCAAGUAGCGUGAAGGAUGACUGCCCUAUGGGUUGUAAACUUCUUUUAUAAAGGAAUAAAGUCGGGUAUGUAUACCCGUUUGCAUGUACUUUAUGAAUAAGGAUCGGCUAACUCCGUG